UAGGCUUCACAGUCGGCAGAGGCCAACACGGGGCUUGAACUGACAACUGGGGACCGCGGUCUUGGGAAGCAAAGUGAUGCCCGCUGGCCUGGAGCUCUGGGAGGUGGAGGGGGGGCAGAAGGAGCAGCCCCCACAGGCCAGAGGUCAGAGGAGAGCCGGGCCGCGGGAGUGUCUGCAUUCUGAAGGCAUGGACGCAUGGAUGUCAUGGGAGGAUCUUGAGGGCUGGUGAGGGGCUUGGGCAGAGGUGGGGCUGGUGCCGGGGGUGCCAGGGGCCAGCGCUGGCCGCGGGUGCACAGGGGCGGGAGCCAUGGGGGAAGGGUAGGCUCGGCUAAGAAGCAUACGGCAUUCUGGGCACCACAGGUCCCCCUUCCUGAAGACAACUUCUGGAUAAUUCUAUCCCUCGCAAUCCACAGAGCCUGUCUGGGCAGGCCACGGUGGAUGGGGCUGCCACCGGGAGCGGAGCACAGGAAGUUCGCUCUGACGAUUGGGAAGUCCUCCUAGGCUUAUAUCCUUGGGGACCCGAUCCUCGACACCCCUGUUCUCCUCUGUGGCUACAGAGAACAGGCAGUUCGAGCCAGGAGUGCCCCAGGGAGGCCGAGGCCACCGUCACAGUCCCUGUGGCUCCGGCCAGCUCUGCAACGGCAGGUCCCGAGAGCUGUCUUCCAGGUUGACGCAGCGGGUCCGGGGUUAGGCUGGUGGUUGCCGACAGCGGCCCCAGAGCGGGGGUCCACUGAAGAGACGCUUGCACUGCUGGAAGGCUCAGGCCACUGCUCCAGCCCAGGGACCAGCCCCGAGGGGCGGUGGUCACAUGGCACCACACCUUCACACUCUCCUCUCCGCUGGGCGCUUGCAGGAUGCAAAUCAGUCACCAAUGUGGGAAGCAGGCCCGUCUUUGUCACCCUGGAGCCACAGCCUCGGGCUCUACCCUGGCGGGGCUGGCCUGGAUUCAACGGUCCUACCAGGCCCUCUCCGCAGUCGGUUCUCUGCCAAUUCGGACCGCGCGGACACCUCUCCAGGGUCCCUCUGCAACCGAGAGCUGCCUCCUUCCUUGCUCUGGCCAGGUAGCUGGCCAUAUUCCGCCCCUUCCAGCCAAGAAUGACUGGGACCAGACCCAAGCCCCCAGGGCCCAAGUGGUCCCCUCUAUGGAGGCUGCAGCCUGGCCGGGGUCCUCGUCCUCGUCUCUCCAAGGAGAGGAGCAGAGCAGUGCUCGGUGCCCCCUGACCCCAGAGCGGCACCUGACCCGGCCAGCGGGGUGUCCGGCCUUGGUCUGGGUGCAAGGAGCCAACAGGGCCCAGCCUGGGCCCUGCGGUGUUGAGAGGGGACGCGGGGGACACAGCGGAGAAGCAGCCAGACUUUGUUCUCAAUCCCGUGACGGAAGGGGGCAGACCCCUGAGGAGCACGGUCGCAGGAUGAGAUGCUCCAACUCGAGAGGCACGUUCCGGUCAGGACGUGGAGACACGCAGCCGGAAAGGCGGGUGGGCCGCUCAGAGACCUUCCGAAGCUCAGCCGGUGGACGGGGGUCUACAGCAGGGGAGCAACUCCCUGCAGGCUCUGGCUGCAAGUGCAGACCCCGGGAUGUGCAUUUGGUUUAAAAUGUCUGGACCUGGCCCUGUUGGGAGCCGCCACAGGGCGCCCCAGACGGGAGCAGGAUCUCCGUGCCAGGCCCACGGGAGGUAGGGCCUCUCCUCAAACUUUGCUUGCCUGGAAAGCGGCCCGGAAUCGGGACCUGGAAAACGGGCUUAACAGCACAUGCGGCCGGUCGGAGAAGCACAGGGUCGGAGCGGCAGGGCCCCCCCAUCCCGCACAGCCUGGUUUGCUCACCUGUCAGGUGCUGUUAUGGCCUUUUGGCUCCACACUGGCCCCCGGAGCCCUGACGCCGAAGGGGAGAAGAAAGUGCCAGCCUGGCUCUGGGGUUCCCUGGGCCUGCCUGCCGGAUGCACCUUCCAGGAGAUACAACCUCGGAAGGCCCAGGGGCCAGAGCAGGGGGUGGGCUGGGAGAGUGAGCGUCCCGCUGAGGCUGGAAGGGGUCAAAGGGCAAGGCGGGUCUGCCAGAGCGGCAGCAGCUGGGCUCUGCUCGCCCCGUCUCAUGGGUCCAAACUGCAGUGAGGCCAGUCCCAGAGGGCCCUGGGAGACCAUGAGGUCCUCCCCUCCCCCCAGCUGUACACAUGAGGAAACUGAGGCACCAGAGACAAAGCUGCCCCUCUCCUCUCUUUUCCAGGAAAUGACUCAGGGGAAUUCAGCAGUGCUGCAGACAGGAGCCAGGCAGCCAGGCCUCCCUUGGCUGCCCCCUCAUCCAUGGAGCUGCUGGCAUCCCAGCCCUGCCCGCCUCCCUCUCGAUGUCGCCCCAGCCUGGCCUCGCCUCGCCUCACUCUGA
ensembl:lncRNA